rnacentral:lncRNA from 1 species
UUGUUUUAAUACUACCUCCGUUUUUAAUUUAUUGAUGAUACAAAUUAAAAAAUAUUGACUUAGAGAAUAGAAAAUCUAAAUCGGAUUUUUGAUAGUCCUGUAUGACAAUGUGUCCAUCUGCUUCUUAUAUAGACAGAAGGAAAAGAGACAUUGGAAAGUAUGAUAACCUUUGUAUUUAAUUGGAUCCAUAAAAAAAAUAACUUUUUACCAUAUGAAUUACCAGUUGAAGUUCAGAAAACUCAGAAUAAUUUUUUUCUUAAGUUUUCAAGUGAGAAAAAGAUAUCUAAGUGGAACAGAAUUUCCUAUAUUGAAGAGAUAAGACAACCUUCCG